rnacentral:rRNA from 1 species
UACGAAGGGGGCUAGCGUUGCUCGGAAUCACUGGGCGUAAAGGGUGCGUAGGCGGGUUUUUAAGUCAGGGGUGAAAUCCUGGAGCUCAACUCCAGAACUGCCUUUGAUACUGAAGAUCUUGAGUCCGGGAGAGGUGAGUGGAACUGCGAGUGUAGAGGUGAAAUUCGUAGAUAUUCGGAAGAACACCAGUGGCGAAGGCGGCUCACUGGCUCGGUACUGACGCUGAGGUGCGAAAGCGUGGGGAGCAAACAGG